CCUAACACAUGCAAGUCGAACGGCAGCGGAGAGUAGCUUGCUACUCUGCCGGCGAGUGGCGGACGGGUGAGUAAUGCAUAGGAAUCUACCUUGGAGCGGGGGAUAACUUGGGGAAACUCAAGCUAAUACCGCGUACGCCCCACGGGGGAAAGCUGGGGACCUUCGGGCCUGGCGCUCUAAGAGGAGCCUAUGUCAGAUUAGCUUGUUGGUGGGGUAAAGGCCUACCAAGGCGACGAUCUGUAGCUGGUCUGAGAGGACGAUCAGCCACACUGGGACUGAGACACGGCCCAGACUCCUACGGGAGGCAGCAGUGGGGAAUAUUGGACAAUGGGGGCAACCCUGAUCCAGCGAUGCAGCGUGUGUGAAGAAGGCCUGCGGGUUGUAAAGCACUUUCAGCAGGGAGGAAAAGUACGUAGUUAAUACCUGCGUACCGUGACGUUACCUGAAGAAGAAGCACCGGCUAACUCUGCGCCAGCAGCCGCGGUAAUACAGAGGGUGCAAGCGUUAAUCGGAAUUACUGGGCGUAAAGCGCGCGUAGGUGGUUAUGUAAGUCGGAUGUGAAAGCCCCGGGCUCAACCUGGGUCAGUCAUUCGAUACUGCGUAACUAGAGUAUGGUAGAGGGAAGUGGAAUUUCCGGUGUAGCGGUGAAAUGCGUAGAUAUCGGAAG
rnacentral:rRNA from 1 species